CUAAGAAUAUUCCGCAAUGGACGAAAGUCUGACGGAGCGACGCCGCGUGGAUGAUGAAGGCCGUGAGGUUGUAAAAUCCUUUUGUUGGGGAAGAAUAAUCAUGGGAGGGAAUGCCCGUGAGAUGACAUGAACCGAUGAAUAAGUCCCGGCUAACUACGUGCCAGCAGCCGCGGUAACACGUAGGGGAUAAGCGUUGUUCGGAAUUAUUGGGCGUAAAGGGCAUGUAGGCGGUUUUGUAAGUCUGGUGUGAAAUGGUUGGGCUUAACCCAAUCCUGCAUUGGAAACUGCGAAACUAGAAUCACUGAGGGGGAAUCAGAAUUCCAGGUGUAGGGGUGAAAUCUGUAGAUAUCUGGAAGAAUACCAGUGGCGAAGGCGGAUUCCUGGCAGAUGAUUGACGCUG
rnacentral:rRNA from 1 species